AUUGAACGCUGGCGGCAGGCUUAACACAUGCAAGUCGAACGGAAGAAGCUAGCUGGCUGCUGGAUUCAGGGGCAGACGGGUGAGUAAUGCGUAAGAACCGGCCUGGUCGUGGGGGAAAACGCCCGGAAACGGGCCCAAUUACCGAUAACCUUCCUAGGGGCAAAGUGGGGGUUCUUAGGAUCUCACGCUAUCGGAUGAACCCAGGGCGGAUUAGCUAGUUGGUGGGGUAGAGGCCUACCAAGGCGACGAUGCGUAACUGGUCUGAGAGGAUGAUCAGGCACACUGGAACUGAGCCACGGCACAGGCUCUGACGGGCGGCACCGGUUGCGACUAUUGGACGCUGGGCGAAAGCCUGAUCCAGGCGUGCCGGGCGGGUGCAGCAGGUCUUCGGAUUGUAAAGCGCCUUAAGUGGGGAGGAAGGGCAGUAAGUUAAUACCAUGCUGUUUUGACGUUACCAACAGAAUAAGCACCGGCUAACUUCGUG
rnacentral:rRNA from 1 species